rnacentral:pre_miRNA from 1 species
UACCGCGGUUUUCCUCGGCAGUUAACUGCCAUCGGUUUUCUAAAACUUCGACAGUUAACUGCCGAGGGGCAU